rnacentral:rRNA from 1 species
UACGGAAGGCAGCAGUGGGGAAUAUUGCACAAUGGGCGAAAGCCUGAUGCAGCUAUGCCGCGUGUAUGAAGAAGGCCUUAGGGUUGUAAAGUACUUUCAUCGGGGAGGAAAAACAAAACUAAUAAUUUUAUUUCUUGACGUUACCCGAAAAAGAAGCACCGGCUAACUCCGUGCCAGCAGCCGCGGUAAUACGGAGGGUGCUAGCGUUAAUCAGAAUUACUGGGCGUAAAGAGCACGUAGGUGGUUUUUUUAAAGUCAGAUGUGAAAUCCCUGGGCUUAACCUAGGAACUGCAUUUUGAAACUGAAAUACUAGAGUAUCGUAGAGGGAGGUAGAAUUCUAGGUGUAGCGGUGAAAUGCGUAGAUAUCUGGAGGAUACCUGUGGCGAAAGCGGCCUCCUAAACGAAUACUGACACUGAGGUGCGAAAGCGUGGGGAGCGAAACAGGGAUUAGAUACC